GACGAACGCUGGCGGCGUGCUUAACACAUGCAAGUCGAACGGAAAGGCCCUGCUUGCAGGGUACUCGAGUGGCGAACGGGUGAGUAACACGUGGGUGAUCUGCCCUGCACUUCGGGAUAAGCCUGGGAAACUGGGUCUAAUACCGGAUAGGAGCCAUUUUUAGUGUGAUGGUUGGAAAGUUUUUUCGGUGUAGGAUGAGCUCGCGGCCUAUCAGCUUGUUGGUGUGGUAAUGGCCUACCAAGGCGGCGACGGGUAGCCGGCCAGAGAGGGUGGACCGCCACACUGGGACCGAGAUGGGGGCCAGAGUCCGGCGGCGGGGAGAAGUGGCGAAUAGGGCUCAGUGGCGGUCUGCGUGUUGCAGAGACGCCGCGUGGGGGAAGACGGCCUUCGGGUUGUACGCUUAUUUCGCCCGCGACGCAGCUUUUUGUGACGGUCCCUAGACAUGACACUCCGGCUAACGACGUG
rnacentral:rRNA from 1 species